UACGUAGGGCGCAAGCGUUGUCCGGAAUUAUUGGGCGUAAAGAGCUCGUAGGCGGUUUGUCGCGUCUGCUGUGAAAACUCGAGGCUCAACCUCGGGCUUGCAGUGGGUACGGGCAGACUAGAGUGCGGUAGGGGUGACUGGAAUUCCUGGUGUAGCGGUGGAAUGCGCAGAUAUCAGGAGGAACACCGAUGGCGAAGGCAGGUCACUGGGCCGCAACUGACGCU
rnacentral:rRNA from 1 species